UUGUGUUCAAAGCAAGCCUACGCUCUGAAUACUUUAGCAUGGAAUAUCGCGAUAGGACUCUGGCCUAUCUCGUUGGUCUGUAGGACCGGAGUAAUGAUUAAGAGGGACAGUCGGGGGCAUUCGUAUUUCAUUGUCAGAGGUGAAAUUCUUGGAUUUAUGAAAGACGAACUACUGCGAAAGCAUUUGCCAAGGAUGUUUUCAUUAAUCAAGAACGAAAGUUGGGGGCUCGAAGACGAUUAGAUACCGUCGUAGUCUCAACCAUAAACGAUGCCGACUAGGGAUUGGAGGAUGUUCUUUUGAUGAUUCCCU
rnacentral:rRNA from 1 species